rnacentral:rRNA from 1 species
UACGUAGGGUGCGAGCGUUGUCCGGAAUUACUGGGCGUAAAGAGCUCGUAGGUGGUUUGUCGCGUUGUUCGUGAAAACUCACAGCUUAACUGUGGGCGUGCGGGCGAUACGGGCAGACUGGAGUACUGCAGGGGAGACUGGAAUUCCUGGUGUAGCGGUGGAAUGCGCAGAUAUCAGGAAGAACACCCGUGGCGAAGGCGGCUCUCUGGAACGGUACUGACGCUGAGACGCGAAAGCGUGGGGAGCGAACAGG